GCGAGCGUAGCCCAAUCGGCAGAGGCGCCCGGCUUAAACCCGGGAUUGUGCCGGUGAACUAGGGUCCUGCGGACCCGUUACGAACCCUGCAAAGCUCCAGCACGCUGGACCUUUGCACGAACCGUCGAUCCCGGCCGCUCGCACCA
rnacentral:tRNA from 1 species